GAUGAACGCUGGCGGCGUGCUUAACACAUGCAAGUCGAACGGUGAACACGGAGCUUGCUCUGUGGGAUCAGUGGCGAACGGGUGAGUAACACGUGAGCAACCUGCCCCUGACUCUGGGAUAAGCGCUGGAAACGGCGUCUAAUACUGGAUAUGUGACGUGAUCGCAUGGUCUGCGUCUGGAAAGAAUUUCGGUUGGGGAUGGGCUCGCGGCCUAUCAGCUUGUUGGUGAGGUAAUGGCUCACCAAGGCGUCGACGGGUAGCCGGCCUGAGAGGGUGACCGGCCACACUGGGACUGAGACACGGCCCAGACUCCUACGGGAGGCAGCAGUGGGGAAUAUUGCACAAUGGGCGCAAGCCUGAUGCAGCAACGCCGCGUGAGGGGUGACGGCCUUCGGGUUGUAAACCUCUUUUAGCAGGGAAGAAGCGAAAGUGACGGUACCUGCAGAAAAAGCGCCGGCUAACUACGUG
rnacentral:rRNA from 1 species